rnacentral:misc_RNA from 1 species
UACGGAGGGUGCAAGCGUUAAUCGGAAUUGCUGGGCGUAAAGCGCGCGUAGGUGGCUUGAUAAGCCGGUUGUGAAAGCCCCGGGCUCAACCUGGGAACGGCGUCCGGAACUGUCAAGCUAGAGUGCAGGAGAGGAAGGUAGAAUUCCCGGUGUAGCGGUGAAAUGCGUAGAGAUCGGGAGGAAUACCAGUGGCGAAGGCGGCCUUCUGGACUGACACUGACACUGAGGUGCGAAAGCCAGGGGAGAGAACGGG